AUAUAAAUUAUUUUUGAAAGGUUAAUAAAGUGUUGCUUUUUACUGAUUAGGCCAAUGGACCAUGUUAUUUGCACUCUUACACUCUGUGUUUUUUCACUUUACUCUUUGCAUAUUUAACCAGAGUAUCAAUUACUUACAUUCAGGCCAUCUUCACAUUUGAAAAAUAUGUCAAAUUGUCUGGUUUCCAAUUAUACCAUAGGUAGGAGCUGGGGAGCGUUUGGCUGUCAUCUCAUAGUAUAUAUCAAGUGAAAGGGGGAAGCAAUCUGAAGUUUAAGUAGGCUGAUGUGGAUGUCCCCUUUACUUUUUGCUUGGCUUCAGAUUUGUACAGAUCUCCUGGGACCUGAUCCCACAUUGAUAGCAACACCCACAUUUUCUUUUUAUCUCGAGUAUGGGGUAGGCCUCUGCUAAUACUGGGAACACUGUGAAUCUGAUUCUGAUCUUCUGUAUCCUUAUGUCAUUCAUUGGAAUUAUUCCUGCUUUAAAUAGCAAUGAGUAAGGUCAGAAUUAGGCCAGUGUUUUCUAAAUCAUCUUAGUAGUAGUAGACCAUUAAAAUAUACCUGAUUUAUUCUUACUAUGUCAAAUUUUAGCUUUUUCUGUGACAUACAAGCAAUAUUCUAAAUCUUACUGUAUUCCUUCCAUGUAUCAGAUACAGAACUGAGGCAGAAUGUUUGGACCCAGAACCUUAUUAUUUACCAUAUUCAUCUUUCACUGAUGAAAAUAUCAUAGUCUUCAUUGUGUCAGUCAUUAGAGAGAAGCCGUAAUGGGACCCAGGUGAAUUUCUUAAGAUCCCCAUCUAAAGAGAACAAAGCAGCAGUGCCAAGCUUCUAGCUGUAGAAGAAACAGGAAGAAGAGCAACUCAUGGCCAUGCCGAUAGGGGAAGAUGAUUUCAGGCAUCAGGCCAGGAUCUUCUCAGCUACCAGCAUGGUGUUACAUUAGUUCUUUCCACCAUGAGUCACGGAACCACAACCCUGAGAGAGACCGUUAUCAGGUCUGCAGAAAACAGAGGAUAGAAGCAUCUGAGAGGAAAUGAGAGUAGCAUGAGGGAUUUCCCAGUCAUAUGCAUGGAGAAGAGCUACAGAAGGAUAAACAAACUUUUCAGCUUACAGAAUGAUUUUGUUUUUACAGCUGCAGACACAACACAGCUGAGAGAACCUAUGAGGGACCAUCUUUGAGAACUGGCAUGGCUCUGGUUCUUCAAUUAGGGAGAAAAGGUAGAGGCAGAAUUGAAUCAGGAAGGAGGGAAGCAUUUGAAAACUAACUCAUAUCUAGUAGGUGUCGUGCUCCCCUUUGCUGUGGGAAAGUAUGAUAAACGGUACUAACAUAAUGGUGUUCAUAGCAGUACAACAGUGAUUCUCAAAUUUUUUAGCCAUAGAAAACUCAACUCAACUGAAACCUUUCCAAGGACCACCAGCCAACCAUCCAU